rnacentral:rRNA from 1 species
AGAGUUUGAUCAUGGCUCAGGACGAACGCUGGCGGCACGCUUAACACAUGCAAGUCGAACGAGCGAUGAGAGCUUGCUCUCAAAGCGAGUGGCGGACGGGUGAGUAACACGUGAGCAACCUGCCUUUAAGAGGGGAAUAACGUUUGGAAACGAACGCUAAUACCGCAUAAUACAGAAGAUUCGCAUGUUUCUUCUGUCAAAGAUUUAUCGCUUAAAGAUGGGCUCGCGUCUGAUUAGCUGGUUGGUGAGGUAACGGCCCACCAAGGCGACGAUCAGUAGCCGUACUGAGAGGUAGAACGGCCACAUUGGGACUGAGACACGGCCCAGACUCCUACGGGAGGCAGCAGUGGGGAAUAUUGCACAAUGGAGGAAACUCUGAUGCAGCGAUGCCGCGUGAGGGAAGAAGGUUUUCGGAUUGUAAACCUCUGUCUUCAGGGACGAAAAUGACGGUACCUGAGGAGGAAGCUCCGGCUAACUACGUGCCAGCAGCCGCGGUAAUACGUAGGGAGCGAGCGUUGUCCGGAAUUACUGGGUGUAAAGGGAGCGUAGGCGGGGCUUUAAGUCAGGUGUGAAAUGUAUGGGCUCAACCCGUAAACUGCACUUGAAACUGAGGCUCUUGAGUGAAGUAGAGGCAGGCGGAAUUCCUAGUGUAGCGGUGAAAUGCGUAGAUAUUAGGAGGAACAUCAGUGGCGAAGGCGGCCUGCUGGGCUUUUACUGACGCUGAGGCUCGAAAGCGUGGGGAGCAAACAGGAUUAGAUACCCUGGUAGUCCACGCUGUAAACGAUGAUUACUAGGUGUGGGGGGACUGCACCCCUUCCGUGCCGCAGUU